GCGAGAGUGGCGGAACUGGCAGACGCGCAGGACUUAGGAUCCUGUGGGAGACCGUAGGGGUUCAACUCCCCUCUCUCGCACCA
rnacentral:tRNA from 1 species